UACAGAGGGUGCAAGCGUUAAUCGGAAUUACUGGGCGUAAAGGGUGCGUAGGUGGUUGAAUAAGUUAGGUGUGAAAGUCCCGGGCUUAACCUGGGGAUUGCGCCUAAUACUGUUUAGCUAGAGUACUGUAGAGGGAGGUGGAAUUUCCGGUGUAGCGGUGAAAUGCGUAGAUAUCGGAAGGAACAUCAGUGGCGAAGGCGACUUUCUGGACAGAUACUGACACUGAGGCACGAAAGCAUGGGGAGCAAACAGG
rnacentral:rRNA from 1 species